GGUGGUUCUUGGGUGACACACCCCAGAAUUGGGCUCCCUUCUCUCUGGUUCCAGGUGGGUCACCCAAGAACCACA
rfam:Myotis lucifugus cont2.157, whole genome shotgun sequence.